GUAAGGUUUUAAGUUAAUAAAACUCUAAGCCUUCAAAGCUUAAAAUAAAGAAAAAUCUUUAAACCUUGCGC
rnacentral:tRNA from 1 species